GCUUAACCGGAGAAGUGCAUCGGAAACUGGGAGACUUGAGUGCAGAAGAGGACAGUGGAACUCCAUGUGUAGCGGUGGAAUGCGUAGAUAUAUGGAAGAACACCAGUGGCGAAGGCGGCUGUCUAGUCUGUAACUGACGCUGAGGCUCGAAAGCAUGGGUAGCGAACAGGAUUAGAUACCCUGGUAGUCCAUGCUGUAAACGAUGAGUGCUAAGUGUUGGAGGGUUUCCGCCCUUCAGUGCUGCAGCUAACGCAUUAAGCACUCCGCCUGGGGAGUACGACCGCAAGGUUGAAACUCAAAGGAAUUGACGGGGGCCCGCACAAGCGGUGGAGCAUGUGGUUUAAUUCGAAGCUACGCGAAGAACCUUACCAGGUCUUGACAUCUUCUGCCAAUCUUAGAGAUAAGACGUUCCCUUCGGGGACAGAAUGACAGGUGGUGCAUGGUUGUCGUCAGCUCGUGUCGUGAGAUGUUGGGUUAAGUCCCGCAACGAGCGCAACCCUUAUUAUCAGUUGCCAGCAUUCAGUUGGGCACUCUGGUGAGACUGCCGGUGACAAACCGGAGGAAGGUGGGGAUGACGUCAAAUCAUCAUGCCCCUUAUGACCUGGGCUACACACGUGCUACAAUGGACGGUACAACG
rnacentral:rRNA from 1 species